UUCGAUGCAACGCGAAGAACCUUACCUACUCUUGACAUCCACAGAAGCCGAAAGAGAUUUUGGUGUGCCUUCGGGAACUGUGAGACAGGUGCUGCAUGGCUGUCGUCAGC
rnacentral:rRNA from 1 species